GAGUUUGAGCCUGGCUCGGAAUCGACGCUGGCGGCGUAGCUCAGACGUGCAAGUCGAACGCGAAAGUCCCCUUCGGUGGGCACGUAUAGUGGCGCACGGGUGAGUAACACGAUAGGUAAUCUAGCUCUGGAUGGGGACUAACCAUCGGAUACGAUUGCUUAAUACCGUAUAAUGCAGUGGCACCUACAUGGUGACAGUUGUUCAAGCGGGGUGAUCGAAAGACCUCGCGUCUGAAGAGGAGCCUGCGGCGGAUUAGCUAGUUGGUACGGUAAUGGCUUACCAAGGCUACGAUCCGUAACCGGCCUGCAGAGGGCGGUCUGUCACACUGACACUGACAUACGGGUCAGACUCCUACGGGAGGCAGCAGUCGGGAAUUUUGGGCAAUGGGCGAAAGCCUGACCCAUCAACGCCACGUGCAAUGGAUGAAUCCCUCGGGAUGUAAACUUCGCAAGAACGGGAAGAAUAAGUAGGGGACAAUACCCCCUAUGAUGACGGUACCGUUUGUAAGCUCCGGCUAACUCCGUGCCAGCAGCCGCGGUAAUACGGGGGGAGCAAGCGUUGUUCGGAUUUACUGGGCGUAAAGGGCGCGUAGGCGGCCAGCACAAGUCAGUUGUGAAAUCUCCGAGCUUAACUCGGAAAGGUCAACUGAUACUGUGCGGCUAGAGUGCGGAAGGGGCAACUGGAAUUCUUGGUGUAGCGGUGAAAUGCGUAGAUAUCAAGAGGAACGCCUGCGGCGAAGGCGGGUUGCUGGGCCGACACUGACGCUGAGGCGCGAAAGCUAGGGGAGCGAACGGGAUUAGAUACCCCGGUAGUCCUAGCCUUAAACGAUGAAUGCUUGGUGUCUGGGGUUAUAAAGUCCCCGGGUGCCGUCGCUAACGCUUUAAGCAUUCCGCCUGGGGAGUACGGUCGCAAGACUGAAACUCAAAGGAAUUGACGGGGACCCGCACAAGCGGUGGAGCAUGUGGUUUAAUUCGACGCAACGCGAAGAACCUUACCUGGGCUCGAAGCACAGUGGACCGGGGUGGAAACAUCCCUUUUCGCAAGAACUGCUGUGGAGGUGCUGCAUGGCUGUCGUCAGCUCGUGUCGUGAGGUGUUGGGUUAAGUCCCGCAACGAGCGUAACCCUUAUCGUUAGUUGCCAGCGGGUCAAGCCGGGCACUCUAGCGAAACCGCCCCGGAUAACGGGGAGGAAGGUGGGGAUGACGUCAAGUCCUCAUGGCCUUUAUGUCCAGGGCUACACACGUGCUACAAUGGUCGGUACAAACCGUCGCAAACCUGCGAAGGGGAGCUAAUCGGAAAAAGCCGGCCUCAGUUCGGAUUGGAGUCUGCAACUCGACUCCAUGAAGCUGGAAUCGCUAGUAAUCGCGGAUCAGCACACCGCGGUGAAUACGUUCCCGGGCGUUGCACACAC
rnacentral:rRNA from 1 species